rnacentral:rRNA from 1 species
GGGGAGUACGGUCGCAAGACUAAAACUCAAAUGAAUUGACGGGGGCCCGCACAAGCGGUGGAGCAUGUGGUUUAAUUCGAUGCAACGCGAAGAACCUUACCUGGCCUUGACAUACAGAGAACUUUCCAGAGAUGGAUUGGUGCCUUCGGGAAUUUUGAUACAGGUGCUGCAUGGCUGUCGUCAGCUCGUGUCGUGAGAUGUUGGGUUAAGUCCCGCAACGAGCGCAACCCUUUUCCUUAUUUGCCAGCACUUCGGGUGGGAACUUUAAGGAUACUGCCAGUGACAAACUGGAGGAAGGGGGGGAGGAGGUCAAGUCAUCAUGGCCCUUACGGCCAGGGCUACACACGUGCUACAAUGGUCGGUACAAAGGGUUGUUACUGCGCGAGCAGAUGCUAAUCUCAAAAAGCCGAUCGUAGUCCGGAUCGCAGUCUGCAACUCGACUGCGUGAAGUGGGAAU